CAACUGCAAAAAGGCCACAUAAACAGCUGACAACAUCAAAAAGAAAGGACACAUCCGUGGAUUAAAUGGAUUUAGUUACUAAGCGAACAAAAUGCAGCUUUAACUGCGAUGAUGAGGCCCCAGCAGGUUCCUUUCUCUGGAGAGACAGCUUGUUGAUUACGGCCCGGCUGUUCUGGAGGAAGUACGCAGACACUGAAGUAAAUGAUUUUGAAGUACCCCACCGCCAGUAAAAGUCAGAUCUAAAUAAAGGAAAGGCACAGAUGUGUAAUCAUUGAGUAUCAAAAGAACAACUUGUACUUCAUUGCACAAGAAGCACUCAGUGGAGUUCUUUGAACCACAGUGUGCAGAGAAAUAAGGUCAUCGACCAACGGGCCACAACAACUACAUCCGCCUGAGGUGAAUCCUGGGAGAGGGAAGAAGGAAACUGAAUAUUUAAAGAAACUUUGUAGAGGAAAAGUCUCGUCAACUGCUAAAUUGUAAAACCUAAAAUUAUUUAAUUAUUAUUAUUAUUAUUUUGAAAAGUCGCGCGUAACUACAGGUGACAAAUAAAAGAAGUAAGAAUCUGCCUCUGAGAUGAAGUGUAGUAUAAAGGAGCAUUAAAUCCACCUCAUAGUGUCUGAGGUGGUUUACUCCGCUGCCGAAUGUCACAAGGAAGACUCAUUCCAGAACC
ensembl:lncRNA